ensembl:snoRNA
CCUGCCCCAAGAAGCAUAGCCGGUGUGGAUUCUGUGUCACAUGUGUGUCAGUAGGUAGCAGAGAGGAGAAAGGCUAGGCCUGUGCUCAGUGUUCUGAUCUAUGAACAUCUGAGUGAUUUGCAGCCUAACAUU